UACAGAGGGGGCAAGCGUUGUUCGGAAUUACUGGGCGUAAAGGGCGCGUAGGCGGCCUGCUAAGUUGGAUGUGAAAACUCUGGGCUCAACCCAGAGCCUGCAUUCAAUACUGACGGGCUAGAGUACUGGAGGGGAAAGCGGAAUUCCUGGUGUAGCGGUGAAAUGCGUAGAUAUCAGGAGGAACACCGGUGGCGAAGGCGGCUUUCUGGACAGUAACUGACGCUGAGGCGCGAAAGCUAGGGGAGCAAACAGG
rnacentral:rRNA from 1 species